CCAGGAGAAUUUGCACUUGAAUGGGAGCUUCUAUAUAUGCAUGCCAGAAAUUCCAGAUGACUAUUUUAUUAUUAUAGUUGGUUGAAAUCAUAAUUCUCACUGCUACUGCUGCUUAUUAGGAUGGAAAAAAUAAUGAUCCUGACUGUGUCAUAUAGCAGUAAGCAGACCCAUUGAAGCUGAACACCACCAUAGACUGGGACAGUAACCUCCCACAUUUCAGUGGUCACUGGAAGGAGGAGGAACUGGGGGCCAGGAAGGAAAAUUACUUUCAGCUAAAUGGGCCUGCUUUCUGCAGAGUUUAUGCUCACUGGAUAUCCUAUUUUAUCAAAGAAAGCUGUGUUCAUGAGUGAGAUGGCGUAUUUCAUGUGACGAUUCAAAUGGAACUGAUUGUUUUGUUUGCUUGCUUUAUAAGCAAGACAAGGUUUCACAUUUUCAGGCAUACCUGAAAUGCCUAAGUUCAGGAAUUAAUUUUCACAGUUAGUGACUAGAGCAAAAGGACAAAAUACUGCCAUUCACCUUACCAUCUGCAUUCAGCUGGCCAAUUUGUGAACAAUAUAUCUGACUACAACCAGCUGCUGGAUUUUUAGUACUCAAUUAUUUUCUCAAUCUGUGCAGUAACACUGAAAAUGGAUGAAUAUCAUUUGUUUUGGGGAAGAGAAAGCAUCAGAUAUUCAAUAUCAUAGAGCUGCCAGGACUCUGCUGUUGUGUAAAAU
rnacentral:lncRNA from 1 species